GACGAACCGUCCGAACGUUAUUCGGAAUCACUGGGCUUAAAGGGUGCGUAGGCGGCGCGGAAAGUUGGGUGUGAAAUACCUCGGCUCAACCGAGGAAGUGCGCCCAAAACUACUGUGCUGGAGGGAGAUAGAGGUGAGCGGAACUUAGGGUGGAGCGGUGAAAUGCGUUGAUAUCCUAAGGAACACCGGUGGCGAAAGCGGCUCACUGGGUCUCUUCUGACGCUGAUGCACGAAAGCUAGGGUAGCGAACGGG
rnacentral:rRNA from 1 species